rnacentral:rRNA from 1 species
GACGAACGCUGGCGGCGUGCUUAACACAUGCAAGUCGAACGGACGGGCGCUGAGCUUGUUUGGUGCUUGUUAGCGGAAGACGGGUGUGUAACGCGUGGAACCUGCCCUUGAAUGUGUGAGAACAUUACGGGACUCGGGAGAAUACAGGGGAUAAUAUUCUGCUGCGUGUGGUUGGAAGGAGAGAGUCGGCGGUGCGGGAUGGAAUCGCGGCUUAUCAGCUGGUUGGUGGGGUAGGGGCUUACCAGGGCUAUGACGGGUAGCCGGCCUGAGAGGGUGGCCGGCCACAUUGGGACUGAGAUACGGCCCAGACUCCUACGGGAGGCAGCAGUGGGGAAUAUUGCACAAUGGGCGGAAGCCUGAUGCAGCAACGCCGCGUGCGGGAUGACGGCCUUCGGGUUGUAAACCGCUUUCGCAUGUGACGAAGCGUGAGUGACGGUAAUGGGUAAAGAAGCAACGGCUAACUACGUG